GCAAGUCUGGUGCCAGCAGCCGCGGUAAUUCCAGCUCCAAUGGCGUAUAUUAAAGUUGUUGCAGUUAAAAAGCUCGUAGUUGAACCUUGGGCCUGGCUGGCCGGUCCGCCUCACCGCGUAUACUGGUCCGGCCGGGCCUUUCCCUCUGUGGAACCCUAUGCCCUUCACUGGGUGUGUUGGGGAACCAGGACUUUUAC
rnacentral:rRNA from 1 species